AGAGAUGUAUAAAGUACUAGAGAACCAUACUUGAGUAAAAGUACAAGUGCUCUAUCAAAAAAGUGACUUGAGUAGAAGUAGAAGUGCUCUUUAAGCACCACACUUAAGUAGAAGUACUAAAGUAUUCAACAUUUUUUGUACUUAAGUAUUGCAAGUAGUCUAUUUUAAAAUGUACUACUCAAGUACUGAAAGUAAAAGUAUUGUGUUAUGUAACUAGCUAUUAAAUAAAGUAGUCAAAAGUUUGAACAUAUUGUUUUUACUAUUUCAAAUGAUUAACCUAAAGGACAAUCACAAUUCCUUUGACUGUAACUUCUUGUAAACAAAAAACAGUUACUAGGGUUAGUUAGCCCAAUUUGCAAAAUGAUGUCAUUAAUAACUUACCCUCAUAUUGUUUCAAACCCGUAAGACAUCAGAGGGUCAUUUAGAAUUUUUUGAAGCAUCGAAAAUACAUUUUGGUCCAAAAAUAGCAAAAACUAGACUUUAUUCAGCAUUGUCUUCUCUUCCGUGUCUGUUGUAAGACAGUUUAAAACAAAGCAGUUUGUGAUAUCUGGUUCGCGAACGAAUCAUUCGAUGUAACCGGAUCUUUUUUAAACAGUCCACCAAAUCGAACUGAAUCGUUUUAAACGGUUCGCGUCUCCAAUACGCAUUAAUCCACAGAUGAAUUAAGCUGUUAACUUGUUUAAUGUGUCUGACACUCCCUCUGAGUUAAAACAAACCAAUAUCCCGGAGUAAUUCAUUGACUCAAACAGUACACUGACUGAACUGAUGUGAAGAGAGAACUGAAGAUGAACACCGAGCCGAGCCAGAUAAUGACUCGUUCACGAGUCAAGAACCGUUUCUGUCCGAUUCGUGAACCGAGGAGCUGAUGAUACUGCGCAUGUGUGAUUUAGCGUGAAGCAAACCGACACACAGAGCGUCUGGAACCGAACUGAUUCUUUUGGUGAUUGAUUCUGAACUGAUUCUGUGUUAAUGUUAUGAGCCCAGGUGCAGUCAACGCCAAUGACGCCAUUGCAUCGAGCGCAAAAGAAUCGGUGAACUGUUUUCUUCAACUGGUUUAUUGAAUCGAACUGUCAGAAAGAACUAACGUUACUGGUCAUCCGAAAACCGAUGCAACCGGUUCUUGACUCGUGAACGAGUCAUUAUCUGGCUCGGCUCGGUGUUCAUCUCUCUCUUCACAGCAGUUCAGUCAGCACGCGCAGUCUCGCUUGAUUCGCUCAAUGAUGUGCCAGCUUCAUCAAACAUACCAUCUACAGUUCUGGCAGUGGAUGGUAAUGGAAUGAUUCGUAACAUUAUUAUAAUUGUAACGAGUAACGAUGCAGCACAUAAAAAAAAUAUCGGAGUAAAAGUAUUAAACUCAGCGAAAAUAUGUACCGAAGUAAAAGUGGAAGUAGGAGAAAAAAAUAAUACUCUAGUAAAGUACAGAUACCGCCUUUUAGUACUUAAGUACAGUAGUGAAGUAGUUCUACUUCGUUACUAUACAUCUCUGAAAAUCAGUUCACCAAAAAUGAAGAUCAAAUCAUCACUCGCAGCUGCAUGUUGUUCCAAACCUGACUUCCUUUUCAUGUGAAACAUAAAAAAUAAAAAUAUAUAUAUAUUUUAAUGAUAUCGUGUACACUCGUCUGCUUCUUUAAAUUCUGAAGCUCGUUAAAGCAGGAUUGAUUCUGAUUGGGUGUCAAUGUUUGUAUCAUUCAUCAGCUAAAAAAAAAAAAGUGAUUCCAACGAUAUUGUUUCUCUGGGUCUUUAUCGUUAUAGCUGUGGUGUGGAAUCUGCUAUUCUUUAAUAUUGAGAAAGACUUUUAGAGCUAUAUCUUUAUCUGUAUUUUUAUAGUUAUUGCCUUGGUGUGGACGGGCCUUGAUACAAACCAUAGCUUGUAACCAGAGCUUUGUAAGACGGGUUGGCCAAUGCCCCAUUCAUGAAGCCAAAGUUUGUCCCUCCGUGGAACAUAUACAGGUUGAAGGACAUUCCUCGUCGCAGUAUCUCUCUUACCACGGCAACCAAGUCUAUAUUAGAAAGGAAAUUUCAGACAAUGUUCAACAUGUUAAACAGCAAUUUGUCAAGGGCUUUUUAAAUAAUAAAUAGUAAAUAAGUAAAACUAUUUUAAUUAAUGAAAAAUGAGUUUAAGAAAAUUAUUUAAAUGAUUCAUUCAAAAUUAUUAUUUAUUAUUCAUUUUAUUAAUUUCUGUUUCAUUUUUUAUUUUUUAUAUGACAUGAUCUCACCCUCUGCAGGUAAACUGUGGUGUAAACCGCCCCAUCCAUCAGACCUCCCUGUCCAGAGCUCCAUCACCAGCACGGGACUGUUGGGCUUUAUGCACAUGAGAUUAAUGUUAAACGUUUCAUAAAACACUUUUAUUUACAAAACAGACUAAAAUAUCUACCUGUACUGUUUCCAGAUACCUGAUGUCAUCAUGAUUCAUUUUCUGUAGAUUUAUAGUUCUUAAAGCUGGGAUGGAGGAAAGAAUGUUUAACACCAUUCACUUUUUAUUUUUAAUAUCUAAUCUACUGUUCAAAAGUUUUGCAUCAGACAUUUUUUUUUAUGUAGUAUUAAGAAAUUAAUACUUUUAUUACAAUUUCCCCAACCUUAGGGCUAGGAAUCAAACUCUCUAACCACUUCCAUAUUGCAUUGUCAUUGCCUUAUUACAUUUCAAAAUUCAUUUUGCCACGCAUAUGCCUCCAUAGUGAUUGGUCAUGUGUUGUUGUUUUUGUUGUUGUUGUUGUUUUAUUUAAAGUUGAAUUCUUGUGUUUUGUUUGUACCUCCUUGGACUCCACCAUAUGUUAGACCCUCAUGGUCGUCUGAUGUUAGGAGAACUUCACUGAUGCCUCUUUCAUGGAGAGCCUGGAAGAAAUUGAAUUAAAAUCGAGAGAAAGCAUGACAUCUGAGUUUGGAAUGGUAACUCAUACUGUACCUCUUUGAUAAAUGGCAUGUAGUUUCCAUCUCUUGCAUGUGAUCCAUAUUUGUUCUCCACUUGAACGGCAAUAAUAGGCCCACCUUUCUUAAACUGACAUCAUAUAAGACCAACAUCAAAGAUCACUCAGAGUACUUUUUGUUUUAGCACUUCUUGUGUUUCAGAAAGAAUCCUACCUGGAAAGGCACCAUUUUGGGAAUGAGCUUAUCAAAGUACACGUUUACAGCUGCUAUGAAUCCUGGUGCUGUGCAGACCCCAGAUAAUGAUGCAGACCAGGAUGAAACGAGAAUGAGAACAAAGUCCCUCCUGACAACAGCAGAGCGACAGUAUUGUCAGAGGACCAGCAACAGGAGCUAUCUGAGAUGUUUGUCUAACUACCGUAAGUGAGAGGUGAAAUCCUUCCAGGAUCAAAAUACACUGAUCACAUAUAGCGCUAAUGCUCUCACAAAUGGGAAUUAGGGAAAGAAAAGGGAGGAUUUCUUACUCUAUGUCAAGGCCUCCCUGGAAACGUAGUUCUCCUUUCUCUGGUUGAUGGAGAGACCAUGGCACAUCACUGCAAGAUAAACACAGUCUGAUUAUUAAA